UGGGGAAUCUUAGACAAUGGGGGAAACCCUGAUCUAGCCAUGCCGCGUGAUCGAUGAAGGCCUUAGGGUUGUAAAGAUCUUUCAGUGGGGAAGAUAAUGACUGUACCCACAGAAGAAGCCCCGGCUAACUCCGUGCCAGCAGCCGCGGUAAUACGGAGGGGGCUAGCGUUGUUCGGAAUUACUGGGCGUAAAGCGCACGUAGGCGGAUCAGAAAGUCAGAGGUGAAAUCCCAGGGCUCAACCUUGGAACUGCCUUUGAAACUCCUGAUCUUGAGGUCGAGAGAGGUGAGUGGAAUUCCGAGUGUAGAGGUGAAAUUCGUAGAUAUUCGGAGGAACACCAGUGGCGAAGGCGGCUCACUGGCUCGAUACUGACGCUGAGGUGCGAAAGCGUGGGGAGCAAACAGG
rnacentral:rRNA from 1 species